AUUCCCGUCUGUAUCAUCUAUUCACUUCAUCGUUCGAACCAAAAUGCCGAGCUAUUUGUCGAUUUGCCCACCAAAUGUCUUUUAUUUCUAUGUCACGGAUUAUUUAAAUUUGUGAAAAUAAGUCUGAAAUCUUGGGAGAAGCCAUUGUUACAGCAGUGAUGAUGAGCUGCAAUCAAAACCCAUUAUAAAUUUUCUGUCCAAAAUUGAGUUUGGCUGAUUAAUAUAUCUUUAGUUGUUACGUUCGAUGCGCUGGAGCUUCGGCUAUGUUUUCAACGACAUUAAAUUUUAUGCAGAGCAUUCUGGAAUGAAGCAAGCACAGAUAUUUUUAUGCUUUAGUGUCCUACCUCUUUAAUUAGGAUAUUUAAUUAUGGAAUAUUUUUCCUAUGUUGCAAAUUAAAUAAUUUUCUAAACAUUCUGUAAAAUAAAUAUAUAAGAAAGUGUAAAUGUUUCAUGCAUUUCUUUUUUAAAAUCAAACUUUCGCUUAAAAGGAAUUCUGUUCAUAUAUGCAUAAAAAAUUCCAUGUGUUACAUCAUUUGCCUUAUCAGUUGAAAUCAAUUUAGUGUUUUUCAUGCGUGGGAGCCUCACUGACAUGGCACAUAGUGAAUAUUUACAGAAAGAAGAGUCUCCGCCAACGGAAUAUAUCCGCCAGAAGUAUAAGGCAACUGUCUUAUAGCGAAUGCGAAGUAAUGGAGAAAACCCAUUCUUCAAUAGGUAUCAUAUGCGGGUCAGUAUUGUUCAUUUUAUACCAAGUGUGAUAUAUUGGAGAAGGCGAGAAAAACUGUGUCUGAAGGAUGUAGGAUCUGUGACGUAAAAUAUCAGCAUGGCGUUUAUGCCAUAUGUUAUACUUAUAUUUGAUACUUACGAAAAUACUUAUGGAAAAUUCAGAAUUUCAAAUAAGAAUAUGGGAUUGAACUGGGAAAAAGAGAGAAGUGCCUUCAAUUUGUAAAUUUCAUUUUUCAAAUGAUUGUAUAAAUAAAAUUAUUGAAUAUUUUAA